rnacentral:pre_miRNA from 1 species
AGCCUUCUAUAUCCGUGCCGAUGUUUCGUUACACAUCAAACCACAAGGGCUGAUGAGACUUCCAAGAUAAGUGGAGCG